rnacentral:rRNA from 1 species
AACAAGGUUUCCGUAGGUAGAACCUGCGGAAGGAUCAUUAUUGAAUAAACUUGGUUGGGUUGUUGCUGGCUCUCAGGAGCAUGUGCACGCUCACUCCAUUUUUACCCACCUGUGCACACACUGUAGGCCUGAAUGAAACCUUUUCGGGGAAACUCGGUUUGAGAACUGCUGUCAGUAUCAGCUGUCCUUGCAUUUCAGGUCUAUGUUUUAAACAUAUACUCCAUGACAAGUAACAGAAUGUUAAUUUAUUGGCCCUUUGGUGGUGCCUUUUAAACUUAAUACAACUUUCAACAACGGAUCUCUUGGCUCUCGCAUCGAUGAAGAACGCAGCGAAAUGCGAUAAGUAAUGUGAAUUGCAGAAUUCAGUGAAUCAUCGAAUCUUUGAACGCANCUUGCGCUCCUUGGUAUUCCGAGGAGCAUGCCUGUUUGAGUGUCAUGAAAUUCUCAACCUUUCUGGCUUUUAUGAGCUGGUCAGGCUUGGAUUGUGGGAGUUGCUGGUUUCUUUUGAGAUCAGCUCUUCUAAAUGCAUAGCAGAAUUCUUGCUGGACCAUCUUUGGGAUGAUAAUUAUCUAUGCCAUUGAGAANCACAGCGU